GACGAACGCUGGCGGCGUGCCUAAUACAUGCAAGUCGAACGCACUCUCGUUUAGAUUGAAGGAGCUUGCUCCUGAUUGAUAAACAUUUGAGUGAGUGGCGGACGGGUGAGUAACACGUGGGUAACCUGCCCUAAAGUGGGGGAUAACAUUUGGAAACAGAUGCUAAUACCGCAUAAAACCUAACACCGCAUGGUGUAGGGUUGAAAGAUGGUUUCGGCUAUCACUUUAGGAUGGACCCGCGGUGCAUUAGUUAGUUGGUGAGGUAAAGGCUCACCAAGACCGUGAUGCAUAGCCGACCUGAGAGGGUAAUCGGCCACACUGGGACUGAGACACGGCCCAGACUCCUACGGGAGGCAGCAGUAGGGAAUCUUCCACAAUGGACGAAAGUCUGAUGGAGCAACGCCGCGUGAGUGAAGAAGGUUUUCGGAUCGUAAAACUCUGUUGUUGGAGAGAAUGUAUCUGAUAGUAACUGAUCAGGUAGUGACGGUAUCCAACC
rnacentral:rRNA from 1 species